UUCACGUUAUCAUAAAUAUGAUUUAGAUGAAUUUCUUUCCUUAUUACUCGGGCUUUUUCCAGCCCGCUGUUCAAUAGCCACUUUGGUGGCACUUGGUAUUUUAGUGUAAUGGAAAUUGGGGUUUGUUGUGUUUUAUUUUUGAUAAUUGUUUAUGUACUAUUUUUCACUACCUUUUUUGAUUUCAGAGUUCAAGGUUGCACUUUAUAGAAAUUAAACAAUCAAUGGCCGAUGUCAAUGACACUUUUACUCUGGGAAAAAAAACAUCAUUCAUAUAGACAUGGUAUUAGGAAUGGACAUCGAUCUUGGACCCUAAAGGUCUAGACCUGACCGGCCCUAAUUUAAAGGUCUAAAUCCACCAUUUUUUGGACCCUGAAAAAUAGGGUCGAACCUAGAACUAUAAUUUUAGGGUUCGGGUCUGGGUCAAUAUUUUAGGACCAGAUCCGACCCAAGUUGGACCCGUAAACCCUAUGGCAGUAAUUUAAUGAAGUAUUAAAAAAAGCUAAUUCUAAAAAAAUAAACAUGUCCUCCUGUUUCACCGUGCACGGCAAGUUUUACAAAAAUUACUUCACAAGUGUUGUACAGCUAAUGGCCUAAUGUAUUUUCUUCAUAAUUACGUAUAUACUCCGUAUUUUCCAAAACCUGCAACAAAAUCUAAAAAAUCUAACAUGUAUGCCUCCGCUGUUCUUCACUUCUUCGGUUCUUCCUCUACGGCUCUUCCUCAAUGUCUCUUCCUCUAGGGCUACCAGUCCACUCGCCAGAUCUGGGGUGAAAGUUUGUAUGUUUGUCAAGGAUGCAAAGGUUCGUUGUCUCAACUAGUAACUGUUUCAAAUAAAUUUGGACCAUAUGAGGAGGUAUUAUAGGGGAUCUAAUUCCAUAUGUGUAGCUAUCUCACCUGCCAACAUCUUGAAGCUUAUGGUUCGUCUUGCCACCUGAAAGAGAAGAGUAACAUACUCUUCGAACUUCAAAGAGAAGAAAUGGUCAGGGAAGAAAUCAGAUGAAGAAAUCAGAGAUCGAAAAAAAUUAGGGAAAAAAAUCAAAUGAAGAAACAAAAGAGAUGUAUAGAUUAAAAUGGUGAAGAGACCCUGGUUAAAGGCCUAAAGGGUGAAGAGCCCAUGGUUGAGGAUAAGAAAUUGAAGAAAUCAGGGGGAAGAAAAGGUAACCGGUGAUUUUUGGUUACGAAAACUUGAACAUCUUUAAAAUCAAAUCUAGUUGAAAGUAAAAACUUUUAAAAGAUAAAUCAAAAAUAAAACCUUAGAAAUCGAACGAGAGAAAAUUUGUACAUUUAAAAUCAAAUUUUUCUAAUUCAUAUAAGCUUAAUGUAUAGAACUAUUGAUUUGUUAGUACUAAACGUUUUAAUUAAAAUAGACUAAAGUACAAGUCCAAUCAUGAUUUGUCAUGAACUU